rnacentral:tRNA from 1 species
GGAGGGAUGCAGGAGUGGCUUAUCUGGCAGGUCUCGAAAACCUUGCGGGCAUUAUUGUCCACGGGAGUUCGAAUCUCCCUCCCUCCGCCA